CUAUACAUGCAGUCGUGCGAACUGAUCUAGUAAAGCUUGCUUCUAUGACGUUAGCGGCGGACGGGUGAGUAACACGUGGGCAACCUGCCUGUAAGACUGGGAUAACUUCGGGAAACCGAAGCUAAUACCGGAUAGGAUCUUCUCCUUCAUGGGAGAUGAUUGAAAGAUGGUUUCGGCUAUCACUUACAGAUGGGCCCGCGGUGCAUUAGCUAGUUGGUGAGGUAACGGCUCACCAAGGCAACGAUGCAUAGCCGACCUGAGAGGGUGAUCGGCCACACUGGGACUGAGACACGGCCCAGACUCCUACGGGAGGCAGCAGUAGGGAAUCUUCCGCAAUGGACGAAAGUCUGACGGAGCAACGCCGCGUGAGUGAUGAAGGCUUUCGGGUCGUAAAACUCUGUUGUUAGGGAAGAACAAGUACAAGAGUAACUGCUUGUACCUUGACGGUACCUAACCAGAAAGCCACGGCUAACUACGUGCCAGCAGCCGC
rnacentral:rRNA from 2 species